rnacentral:tRNA from 1 species
GGGCGAGUGGUGGAACGGUAGACACGUAGGUUUCAAAAACCUAUGAGAGCAAUCUCGUGAGAGUUCGAUUCUCUCCUCGCCCA